rnacentral:lncRNA from 1 species
ACAGUUUCUGGCACCCAACAUAGGACAGCUGAGACACUGCAGUCACACAUAUACCUGCAGAUGAGGUCUUGGGACAACAGACAAAAAGCUGGGAACGAGGUAAAAAUAUUUUACUAAUAUCAGCUCUCCUGGAUCUGUGCCUGGAGUGCCCAGUUGAGAGUGAAAGGUGAGAAAAUGUUUACAAAUACUAGAGAAGCCACCAGUUCCCAGCUGAAGUUGCAUUGCCUGGAGGACCUGAGAUGAGGAGAAAAAUGACUGAGCAAGGUGGAGCAAAGGAGAAGAAAGACAUUUGAAUGUACUGGAUUAAUAUAUUUGGCUUUAUAUUAUACAGAGUUAUAUAGAAUCAUGAAAUGUUUUAUGUCCUAUGUUUUGGAUUGAGAUAUACCUCACAACAUGACUGGUAAAUCAAUGAUAGUGCUUCAUCAAAUUUCCCAUGUGCAAACAGGAGCGAAGAGAAGCUAUAGUGAGCUCCAAAAAGAAUGCUCCAAGGAAGAUAUCCAGGGACUUAUCAUACCUCACUCUAGAGCUGUGAUAGCAGCUUGCCUGAAUUGAGAUAUUUACCUUUUCAAUUC